rfam:Glossina austeni unplaced genomic scaffold Scaffold77, whole genome shotgun sequence.
UGCCGCAUAGUUUAGUGGUUAGGACAUUCGGCAUGAAGUCGAAAGACCCAGGUUCGAUCCCUGGUGUGGUAU